GACGAACGCUGGCGGCGUGCUUAACACAUGCAAGUCGAACGGAAAGGCCCUGCUUUCGUGGGGUGCCCGAGUGGCGAACGGGUGAGUAACACGUGAGUAUCCUGCCCUUGACUUUGGGAUAACUUCAGGAAACUGGGGCUACUACCGGCUAGGAGAUCCUGCUGGAAGGUGGGGGUUGGAAAGUUUCGGCCGGUGUGGAUGGACUCGCGGCUUACCAGCUUGUUGGUUGGGUAGUUGCUUACCCAGGCUUUGGCGGGUAGCCGGCCUGAGAGCUUGACCGGCGACAAUACUACUGAGGUACGGAGCAGUGGCGAACGGGAGGCAGCGGGGGGGAAUAUGACACAGUGAGGGGGAGCCUGUGGAGGCGGCGUCCCGUGUGUGAAGACGGUCUUCGGGGUGUAAACCGCAGUCGGCUGUGACGAAGCUGUAGUGACGGUAAUGAGAAAAGAAGCACCGGCUAACUACGUG
rnacentral:rRNA from 1 species